rnacentral:rRNA from 1 species
UUGUCUCAAAGAUUAAGCCAUGCAUGUCUCAGUACAAGCCAAAUUAAGGUGAAACCGCGAAAGGCUCAUUAAAUCAGUUAUGGUUCCUUAGAUCGUACCAACAUUUACUUGGAUAACUGUGGUAAUUCUAGAGCUAAUACAUGCAAACAGAGCUCCGACCGGAGACGGAAGGAGCGCUUUUAUUAGAUCAAAACCAAUCGGCGGCGGGUUCGCUUGCGGGCCCGUCGUCGUUCGCAUUGACGAAUCUGAAUAACUUUCUGCUGAUCGCACGGUCUCGCACCGGCGACGCAUCUUUCAAAUGUCUGCCUUAUCAACUGUCGAUGGUAGGUUCUGUGCCUACCAUGGUUGUAACGGGUAACGGGGAAUCAGGGUUCGAUUCCGGAGAGGGAGCCUGAGAAACGGCUACCACAUCCAAGGAAGGCAGCAGGCGCGCAAAUUACCCACUCCCGGCACGGGGAGGUAGUGACGAAAAAUAACGAUACGGGACUCAUCCGAGGCCCCGUAAUCGGAAUGAGAACAAUUUAAAUCCUUUAACGAGGAUCAAUUGGAGGGCAAGUCUGGUGCCAGCAGCCGCGGUAAUUCCAGCUCCAAUAGCGUAUAUUAAAGUUGUUGCGGUUAAAAAGCUCGUAGUCGAAUCUGUGUCCCGCGCCGCCGGUUCGUCGCUCGCGGCGUUUAACUGGCGUGUCCGCGGGACGUCCUGCCGGUGGGCUUAGCCCUUUCACGAGGGCGGCCCAAUUUUAAUCCCGCCGCGGUGCUCUUAACUGAGUGUCGAGGCGGGCCGGCACGUUUACUUUGAACAAAUUAGAGUGCUUAAAGCAGGCUAAACUUCGCCUGAAUACUUCGUGCAUGGAAUAAUGGAAUAGGACCUCGGUUCUAUUUUGUUGGUUUUCGGAACCCCGAGGUAAUGAUUAAUAGGAACGGAUGGGGGCAUUCGUAUUGCGACGUUAGAGGUGAAAUUCUUGGAUCGUCGCAAGACGGACAGAAGCGAAAGCAUUUGCCAAAAACGUUUUCAUUGAUCAAGAACGAAAGUUAGAGGUUCGAAGGCGAUCAGAUACCGCCCUAGUUCUAACCAUAAACGAUGCCAGCUAGCGAUCCGCCGACGUUCCUCCGAUGACUCGGCGGGCAGCUUCCGGGAAACCAAAGCUUUUGGGUUCCGGGGGAAGUAUGGUUGCAAAGCUGAAACUUAAAGGAAUUGACGGAAGGGCACCACCAGGAGUGGAGCCUGCGGCUUAAUUUGACUCAACACGGGAAACCUCACCAGGCCCGGACACCGGAAGGAUUGACAGAUUGAGAGCUCUUUCUUGAUUCGGUGGGUGGUGGUGCAUGGCCGUUCUUAGUUG